UUGGAGGAAUUUCGGUCAAGAUUUCUGCCCUAAAGCUGUCCAACUAAGUUCUUGAGAAUGAUUGAUGGAAUGAAGUCGGAAGAAAGUUAGAAAUUUGGAGAAGGAUCUCAAGAGGACUUCGAGGGAACUCCCGGCGAAGCGUCUUAGAGCUAAUUUCUCAAACUUUGACUUUUGAUACUUGGUUUGGAAGUGGAAGUUCUGAGGCUUAAUUAGUGACCCCCAAAAAUAAUUUUUCCCCACAGGGCUCGAGGCCAAAGAAAGCGC